AAUUUUGGAUAAUGGGCGAAAGCCUGAUCCAGCCAUGCCGCGUGUGUGAAGAAGGUCUUCGGAUUGUAAAGCCCUUUAAGUUGGGAGGAAGGGCAGUAAGUUAAUUCCUUGCUCUUUUGACGCUACCGACAGAAAAAUCACCGGCUUACUUCGUGCAAGCAGCCGCUGUAAUACGCAGGGUGCAAGCGUUAAUCGGAAUUACUGGGCGUAAAGCGCGCGUAGGUGGUUCGUUAAGUUGGAUGUGAAAGACCAGGGCUCAACCUGGGAACUGCAUCCAAAACUGGCGAGCUAGAGUACGGUAGAGGGUGGUGGAAUUUCCUGGGUAGCGGUGAAAUGCGUAGAUAUAGGAAGGAACACCAGUGGCGAAGGCGACCACCUGGACUGAUACUGACACUGAGGUGCGAAAGCGUGGGGAGCAAACAGG
rnacentral:rRNA from 1 species